ensembl:lncRNA
GCAGACAGACAGGUAGACACACACACACACGCAGACAGACAGGUAGACACACACACACACGACACAGACAGACAGGUAGACACACACACACACGCAGACAGACAGGUAGACACACACACACACGCAGACAGACAGGUAGACACACACACACACACACACACACACACAGACAGGUAGACACACACACACAGACAGGUAGACACACACACACAGACAGGUAGACACACACACACACACACAGACAGGUAGACACACACACACACACACAGACAGGUACACACACACACACACACAGACAGGUAGACACACACACACACACAGACAGGUAGACACACACACACACA